rnacentral:rRNA from 1 species
CCUACGGGAGGCAGCAGUGAGGAAUAUUGGUCAAUGGGCGCAAGCCUGAACCAGCCAAGUCGCGUGAAGGAAGACGGCCCUACGGGUUGUAAACUUCUUCUAUAAAGGAGUAAAGUGAGGCACGUGUGCCUGUUUGUAUGUACUUUAUGUAUAAGCAUCGGCUAACUCCGUGCCAGCAGCCCCGGUAAUACGGAGGGGAGGAGCGUUAUCCGGAUUUAUUGGGCUUAAAGGGAGCGUAGAGGGGUUGUUAAGUCAGUUGUGAAAGUUUGGGGCUCAACCGUAGAAUUGCAGUUGAUACUGGCAGUCUUGAGUACCGUAGAGGUAGGCAGAAUUCGUGGUGUAGCGGUGAAAUGCUUAGAUAUCACGAAGAACUCCGAUUGCGAAGGCAGCUUACUGGCCUGCCACUGACGUUGAUGCGCGAAAGCGUGGGUAUCAAACAGGAUUAGAUACCCUUGUAGUC